UCCCGCAAUCGCACUUGAUCUGGCCGAAAAUAAGCCAAAACGGCAAUACUGAUGUACAUAUACCCAGUGGCGACGACCUGAAUGAGGUCUGUUGAAAUAAUGCAUUACAUACGACAAAAAAGUAAUGCAUAACCUAUGAACAUUUUUUUCAGCGCAUUUGUAAAUAAAAAGUGCUACUCAUACGACAGAAUCGAGCUCUUGUCAACUUCGCUUCUGUAUGCCCCUUCCCCGCUAACCAACAAACGAUUUUCGUCUUUCAUUGCGUCGCGACGAAAUCGCCGAAUUUCGUUUUGGACUUUACCGUUUUUUGCAUGGAAUGCGUGCCUUCUUUCGUUUGGUUUUUUUGUCUAUGCCUAUUCCUUUUGUGUGUAUAGUGUUAAUGAGUGUAAAUACAAGUUCAAAAAUGCAUAUGUGUGAUGAUUUCUGUUUUCGUUUUACCCGCCGCGGCGCGUCACUUUUCUGCUAUUGUUGAGCCGUGCGGACGUAAAUUUAAAGGGAAGUAUCUGAUGCUAUAAAAACCGAAGGGUCCACUAAGAAGACCUAUGUAUAUAAGUACAAUAAGAAACUGCUUUCGGGUCCAGAAAGGUCGACUGGCAAAGCAGAAGUUCGAUAAUAAGGACAAACUAGAUAAUAAGACAUAGCUUUAGAUUUAGAUGUAGAUAGAUAUAAUAAAAUAGUAAUAAUACAUAGUUUAAGACUAUACAUUUAUUUAUAGAUAUUAAGAAAUAAUAAAUAAUAAUUUUUAAAUAUUAAAACAAAAAAUACUACAUUACUCAAGCGUUUCUAUCUUUCAAUUAGUAAUCAAUUAUUUCUCCAAUUACAUUGCAUUAAGAAGUAAGCCAUUUUAUAUAGUGGGAAAAAUGGGUUGCAGGUAUAUUGUGUUGUAAUGUACGCACAUUACUAACCCAUAAGCGAUUUUGAAAAUGUAUAAGGCGUUUUCUUCAGGUUGCGGAAUUUCUACAUUACAAUAUUUAAAAAGUAUACGCAUGGGUAAUGGAGAGCCGAAGGAAACUUCGUCACCUCAUUACUUUCUGCAUUACAAAAUCCAAUAAUUUCAGGCACCCGGGAGAAAAAGCGGCCAUUCCUUAAAAAAGUAAGGCAGCUUGUAAUCGAUCUUUUCAUGCACACAGGCGACAAGUAAUCCAUGAGUAAUGGACAAAA